GUGCUUUAGACCCCUAUACACGUCAGUUGGACCAAUUGGAGGGAAGCUACCUCCCGUGGUGCUAAGUUUUUUUUCUGUGGUGCUUAUAUUUUUCUUAAAUGAUAUAUACACCAAAAGACCCCAGGACUUGUGUAGAUUGGACCAUAUGUGCCUGUGGACUAAUGAGCUUAACAAACCAUCUUAGACCCAAUAGAGUGCUUUAGACCCCUAUACACGUCAGUUGGACCAAUUGGAGGGAAGCUACCUCCCGUGGUGCUAAGUUUUUUUUCGGUGGUGCUU
rnacentral:lncRNA from 1 species